rnacentral:rRNA from 1 species
GAUGAACGCUGGCGGCGUGCCUAAUACAUGCAAGUCGAGCGAACAGACGAGGAGCUUGCUCCUCUGACGUUAGCGGCGGACGGGUGAGUAACACGUGGAUAACCUACCUAUGAGACUGGGAUAACUUCGGGAAACCGGAGCUAAUACCGGAUAAUAUAUUGAACCGCAUGGUUCAAUAGUGAAAGACGGUUUUGCUGUCACUUAUAGAUGGAUCCGCGCCGCAUGAGCUAGUUGGUAAGGUAACGGCUUACCAAGGCAACGAUGCGUAGCCGACCUGAGAGGGUGAUCGGCCACACUGGAACUGAGACACGGUCCAGACUCCUACGGGAGGCAGCAGUAGGGAAUCUUCCGCAAUGGGCGAAAGCCUGACGGAGCAACGCCGCGUGAGUGAUGGAGGUCUUCGGAUCGUAAAACUCUGUUAUUAGGGGAGAACAAAUGUGUAAGUAACUAUGCACGUCUUGACGGUACCUAGUCAGAAAGCCACGGCUAACUACGUG